UGUAACUCCUUACAAGGGUAUUUUGUUCCCCAUUCUAAGGAGGGACGAAGUAUCCACACUUUUGCAGUUAGCUCAUCUAGUUCUUGAGUAAGCUUGAAAUGAAAUGCAUCAUUACAAUAUUUUCAUAUGAUCCACAAUACAUAUGUGCAUUAUAAUGUGAACUGAGAUCACUACCACCUCAUUCUCCAAAAAACUUUUUAGUGUCCUUUCUGUUGGGUACAAGUUGACUGGUGACUAUAGUCCCUCUUGUAUUUAUGACCCAGACAUUAAAGUUCAUUCCUUUAUUUAUUUAUUACUGUUGCAUUUUAUAAUGUCUCAAUGAUACAUUCUGUUUUUCCAUUUUUAAUACAUACGAUGCUUUAAGUAUUCUGUUUGCCUAUAUUCUGAUGAUCUUUUGCCAUUAUUUAUAGUAAUUUUUCACUUGAUUCUUUUAUUCCUCUAGGAAUCAGUCGUAACCUUUAUAACUCGGAAUAGUUGUUACUUCUUUUAAAGCAUUCUUGACUCUAAUUAUGUUCUUACAUAUAAAGUGUAUUCCCAGCUGCUGUGAUGAGAACUGGCUGGUUUACUGACUAUAAAGAACACAAUUUUGUUAAGAAAAGGCAUAUAUAUAUAUAUAUAUAUGUAUGUAUAUAUACAUACAUACAUACAUAUAUGUGUGUGUGUAUUCUAUCUUUAAUUUAAAAAAACUCUAUUCAUUUCUUCGUCCUUUAACAAUCGUAUACAUGCAUCUAGGAUAUUGAUGACUUUCACUCUACCCAUGUUAACCUCUUUUCCACCUAUCAUACACUCCCCUCCAUCCAAAUACCCUUUCCAUAUUCAUGUGUUCUCAUUGAUUUUAACCAGGACCAUCUUUGCAACCAGGGCUGUAGAAAUAUAUUCAUUGGAACAUGCUAGACUCACAGAGCCCAUCACUAGCCAAUAGUUCAGCAGGAAGGGUAGUACCUCAUGACCCCUUCUUAAUCUAUGAUUGAUUAUUGACUGGUGUAGUCAUGUGCAGAGCAACUACAGACAAGGACAGCUUUUCUUUAAUAUACAGUAGCUCCUGAGAUCAGUGUUAUACAGCCAUAGAUCUAUCCAGUGUAUCUCCCUUCUAACCUGAUUUUUAACAGUUACUCUUAAGUUGCCUUACAAAUUAGUAGUAGGUUUCCAUAUCUUUCAAAUAUGUCCUUCACAUGAAUUAACUUUUCCUAACGUGGUGCAUCUGCAGCUGUCUGAUUCCACUCUGCCUCUCCCCCAAGCCAAAAAGAUACAUGGGAGAAAAGACAUCUUUAGCGAGUGGUUUCAGAAAAUGUGGAUAUUCACAGGUAAAUGAAUAAAAAGUAGAAUAUUCAACUCCAAAUGGAUGAAGAACUUUAACAUAAAGUCUGGAACUCUGAAACCACUAGAGGAAAAAAAUUAGAGAAUUUACUACAAGAUAUGAGUAUUGAAGGCUAGAGUGAUUGCUCAUAGAUCAGAACAGUUGCUGAUCUUAUAUUCACAUUGGUUGGCUCACAACCACUUUUAACUGAAGGUCAAAGAGAUCCUAACCAUUUCCUUGGCUUCCUAGGGAUCCACCAUGCACAUGCUGCAUUUAGAGACAGUCAGGCCCACAUAAAUAUGUAUAUACAGUACAAAAUAAUUCAGCAUAGCGUUUGAAAUGUAAAUAAAGAAAAUAUCUAAUAAAAAUAAUAUAGAUAAAAAAGAUUUAGGCGAAUUUGUAGGUACGAACUUUUAAAGCAGGACUGUAGUCACUCAGGAAAUAAACAAUUGAUAAAUGGUACUUCAUGUAGUUAAAACGUUUCUUUUUUUUUAAGAUUUAUUUAUUUAUUAUAUGUAAGUACACUGUAGCUGUCUUCAGGCACUCCAGAAGAGGGCAUCAGAUCUCGUUAUGGAUGGUUGUGAGCCACCAUGUGGUUGCUGGGAUUUGAACUCCGGACCUUUGGAAGAGCAGUUGGGUGCUCUUACCCACUGAGCCAUCUCACCAGUCCUAAAACGUUUCUGUACAGCCAAGGAGUCUGUGACACAAGUGGAGAGGCAGCCUGCAGAGUGGAAGAAAAUCCUUGCCAGCUAUACACCUGACAGAGGACAAAUGCCUAGAAUAUAAAUAAAAUGUUCUCAAAAAGGUAAACAUAAAAGAACAACUCAAUCAUAAAUGGACUCUGGAGCUGCAGUCGAGCUUUCUUAAAAUAAGAAACAUUAAUAGCUAAUAAAUACUUUUAAAAGGUGUUUAGCAUCCUUAGCCAUCAGAGAAAUGGAAAUUAAACUGCUUUGAAACCUCCUUUUACAUAGACAAACUAGCUGCCCUUAAAAAAAUAUUAAAGAAGAUGCUGAUGGAGUUGUGGAGACAGUGGUACCUCAUCACUCUUAAUGGGAGUUAGACUGGUACAGCCACCAUGGAAAUAGAUGUGGAGA
rnacentral:lncRNA from 1 species